GACGAACGCUGGCGGCGUGCUUAACACAUGCAAGUCGAACGAAAAGGCCCUGCGUUUGUGGGGUGCUCGAGUGGCGAACGGGUGAGUAACACGUGAGUAACCUGCCCUUGUCUUUGGGAUAACUUCAGGAAACUGGGGCUAAUACCGGAUAGGAGCUCCUGCUGCACGGUGGUGGUUGGAAAGUUUGGGCGGUUGGGGCUCGACUCGCGGGUCAUCAGCUGGUUGGUGUAGUAGUGGAGUACCAAGGGUGUGACGGGUAGCCGACCUGAGAGGGUGAACGGCGACAAGAGGACUGAGAUACGGAGCAGUAUCGUACGGGAGGCAGUGGGGGGGAGUAUUGCAGAAUGAGGGGAAGCGUGAGGCGGAAACGCCGCGUGCGGGAUAACGGCUUACGGGUUGUGAACCGCUUUGGCAUGUGACGAAGAGUGAGUGACGGUAAUGGGUAAAGAAGCACCGGCUAACUACGUG
rnacentral:rRNA from 1 species